UACGAAGGGUACGAGCGUUAUUCGGAGUUACUGGGCGUAAAGAGCGUGUAGGCGGUUAGUUAAGUUAGAUGUUAAAUUCCCCGGCCUAACUGGGGAUGUGCAACUAAAACUGGCUGACUAGAGUACAAGAGAGAGAAGUAGAAUUCCCGGAGUAGCGGUAAAAUGCGUAGAUCUCGGGAGGAAUACCGAUGGCGAAGGCAGCUUCUUGGCUUGUAACUGACGCUAAAGCGCGAAAGCGUGGGGAGCAAACAGG
rnacentral:rRNA from 1 species